UUAAAUCAAUUCCAGCCUUUCCAUGGCCUGAUGCUUCCCAUUUUGUCUCUUCCCUGGCUUGCUGUGGCCCAUCCUACAAGAGUAUCCUUGUCUCCAUCUUAACCAGCUCCUCCUAUGAAGUGACUGCUCCCCUAGAACCUGCUUUUUAUCACCUCUCUGAGUACAAAGCCAUGUCUGUAAGGUGAGAUGGAUGAAAAAAAUCAAACUAUGGAGACCUCCCUAUUUCAGGAUAGUGCCUGUCAUGGACAGUAUUGAUAUUUUUUUUCCUGUUCCUGGCAAUGUUUUUGUGGCAAAUUGUGAAAACUCAUCUAUUUGUGGUAGAUAGGUGGCUUUCCCAGGUGAGUUCACCCAAUUUCUAUGGACUCUUAAAACAUCUGAUCCUUCUUAUGAGUAGAUCUCAGUGAACAAGCUUAAAUGAAUAAGUUUGAAUGAAUAUUCCUCCCAGCUUUCUCUAACUCCUUCUUUUUUUAUCUCUUAAUUGUAAAACACCACAAGUGCAAACUGGAUUAGAGAUGCAUUUCUCAUGUGAAUAAAUACAGGUACUGUGUUGCAGCAGAUAUGAAAUUUUGUGAACCAAACCUGCUGCCCAACAAGUAAAACCCUUGUAGAGUCUGUACCAUGUGCUCAGAUGUGCACAGGCUGAAUUUUAAUUUAUUUUUUUAUUAGUUUUUAUUAUUAAUUUUAUUUUUUAUUUAUUUAUUAAUAUAUUAAGCUGGAACUUAUUUAUGAGGAAAGUCUUUUACUGACUUUGCCAACAGAAAACCACCUCUGUGGAGAGUCUAAAUUGUGGUUCCAUGAGACACAUAUUGGAUUUUUUUUUUGUUAUCAUUCUGAUGAAAACCUUUAUUGAUCUUCUGCUAUUUCUGUUUGAAAUGAAGACAAACUUGGGCACUUUAUGCUGAGAAGAAUCCAAGAGGAAAUAAAGGGCUUGCUUGAAAAUCCAAAUGAGAGAAAGUAGCUAUUGGAUGCAUUCUUGAGGAGGAAAGCACAGCAGAAGGGAGCAUUUAAAAUCCUGAAACGCUCUUAAUGCCUAGCAGUCAGACAAUAUCAAUUAUACAUGCCUCUGUGUGUUUAGAAACUCAAUAAAACUCUUCCAUUUCUCAGUGAUCCAGAGGAACAGCUUGUUCUGUAAAAGGCAUUUUCUAACUAUAGGCAGGAAUCAGAGGUCGGGAGAUACUUGUAAAUCACCCCAGCAGGAAGAUGCAGCAUCACAGUCUUGAGAUGAUACAGGAAAGGAGUAUUUUCUUGGCCAGAAUAUUUGCCUGCAGUGCUGUGGAAUAGGGAAGUUGGGGAGGAAUCCUAAUGGAGAGACAGCAAGUAGUGAAGAGCUUCAGUCUCCAGUGGCUGCAGCUGGGAGAUGGAGAGAGCCCUGAGCAUGAAACUUUACUGCAUGCCUGGAGGAAGAUGGAUCUCUCCUGUAUCCCACAGGCUGGAGAGGAGGGGGGAAGCACUCAGCCCUUUGGAAUGGUGUGUGCUGUGUCUGCCAACAGCUGCUGCUCCUGAGUGUCAUUAGCACCAAACUCGGAUCCAGGAAUGGCAAACAUAGACAUGAUUUCAUUAAUAUUAAAGGCCUUGCUACAGGAGAGUUCCACGUGUUGACAAGAUAACACACAGCUUUAAUAUAGCAAAUUUCUUGAGCUGGUGGGGAUUCUGGUGCCUUCCUUGUGGAAAAAAUUUGUUUUCAGUGUUUAAAAUGAGCCCUGAGUGAGAUGGGAGUGAAAUCCUGGUCCCUGUUUCCAUCAAAGUACUUUUCUUACAGAAACUCGACCUCCCACCUCACUUUUUCAAACAAGUGCCCUCUCCUGAUGCUGAGCAUCAAGAGUUUCAACAGCAACAAGCAUCACCACUUUCAGCUGGUUUUUCAGAAUAGACAUUUAGCAUGUGGUGUUUUACCCCCUUUCCCAGGACAGCUUGUUAAUUAAAGUGGAUCACUCAGGAGGCCUGUCUGGAAGGAACUCUGGAUGGGAGAGGAGGUGCAAACCCAGAGGACCAACACCAAGCACAACCAGCUGUUCUCUUGAAAGGGAGGAGUUAAAAAUCCAAGCUGAAAAGGACAAAGAAAGGAGGGGGAAAGGAAAAAUCUUGAUGCUGGAAAAUGAGAAGCUGCUUAUCAGAGGAAAUGUGGAUGUGUGAUGCCAGGGAAGGAAGCAUAUGGAGUCAAUGCCAAGUGUGUAUUUCUUGUGGCAUAAGGAAAAACAUGAUGCUGGUGGUGGUGGUAGUGAAGAUUCUCCCUGGAAAAACAGUGAGAGAUGCAGGACGUCUGCUGAAGGAAAUAGAGCUGAAGGCCUGGAUUGAAUGGGUGAUGUCUGAAAGGAGCUCCUGGUGAAAGUGUGGGACGGUGUGAAACUGGCCUUAAAAAUAUGGCAAGUGACCAGCAGCCUUUCCUGAGAACCAGGUACCUCUGGAGGUGUGGAAGCCUGCGUGUAAAAUCCGAAUUGUGUGGAAACAAGAUGUCACAUAAUUCCCUGUUAAGAUGAGAGGAGCAGGAAUGCAGUAUUCAGGAUGGAACUGUGCUUUGGGAAUAUAUUUUACCCUCACAUGCAUUUAGUUGCACUGAUUAAAACUGAACUAUAUCUUCUUCCAUCACUGCCAUCAGGCUGGAAAUCCAGAAAAAAGAUUUAAUUUCCUAAAGAGACAAGUCCCAGUAAUGUGUGAUUAUUAACUGGACAACUCUUCAGAAUUACAAAAUGCUCACAAAGACAAGCAAACCAACCUUGAGUUUGGACUGUGGGGCUGCCAGCUGAAGCCCUGAGUAACCUGUGUGUAAGAAGAGGUACUACAGCACU